UCCAGGCUCCUUUCGUUCCCCACGCAUGAAACCCUAGCUGCUUUCGUUCCCCACGCACGCCGCCGACCCAGAGAGGCGACCUCACCCUUCCCUCCCAUGGCGCCACUGCCCCAACCCAUAGCCGACUCCCUCUCCCCUCCCUCCCUCUCCACUCCCUUUCAUGGUACCAGAUCUGAAGGGGACAUGGUCUCUUCGCUCCCGGUGGUCCAGGGCGAGUAGGCAGCCUCCGCUCCCUCCACUUCCGGCGACAGGUGCCUCCAUCUCUGCCAACCAACAUUCGGUGACCAGGAGGUAGCCAUCUAUGGCGGCAACAAAAUCGGUAAUGUUUCUUUCCCUCUCGUGUGGUCUCUCCCUCCACUCCCCCUCCAGGCUGCAGAUUUGAAACUGGAGCGUGCAGAUUUAUAGUUUUCUAAAAAGUAUUUUCAUGAAUUGGUUAUAUCCGUUCAGUUGUUCGUCCCACCCCUCUGCAUAUCCGACCCAUUCUUAUGUAGUUUAUUAUUAUAUGAGAGGAAGGGGUAAGGGACUGUUAGUCAAGAACAGUUGCAUCUCUGUGUUCUCAGCAAGAAAGAGAAUGACACAGUUAAACAUUCAGAUUUAAGCAAUAGAUGGAUGGAACUUUUGUUCUGCAGUCUAAUAACGAGAUACAAUAAAAGUUCUUUUAUUUUACUGAAAUUAACUUUUAAUUGAGUGAGGUGCUAAGGUCAACCUCUAUACAUGCACAUCCCUGAACUGAAAAUACACCCAGGCACCAAUUUUGGACAGUACAAAAUUGAUAUGAUGCUUACUUUGUGAGCGAGUCUCUUAUUGCACAAUAUCUUUGAAUAAAAGGCAUGGUUAGAAAUAAACUGAACCAAACUAUCGACAUCAGAGAGCAUACAAUUAUGAGUUUAAUUUCCCAGUUACAGCAAUAAUUGUACUGUAUUUGUAAUGAUACAUUCUUACCCCGCCAAUAAAUAUUUGGUUGAGAGCCCUUGAUCAUGACAGCUAGAAAUUAGCAAACGCAUUACAUAUGUUCAGUAAAGCCUUUCAAUAUUUUUCCCGUCGAUGUCACAAAAUAAACACCCCAAUUAGUAUGUUUGAGCUUGGUGGUACGUGCCCCCAUCUCUCCCCACUUCAGGAGAAUAGGAGCCAACCAUCCAUGGCAGAAACAACAUCGUAAGUUCUGUGUUUGUGUGUGCGCACGGCGCGCGCGUGUGUGCGUGUUCAGAUUCCAACUCCCACCGGUGGACCAGAAUUUUUUAUUUGGUUGUAAGUUUAACCUCUUUCAAAAAGAAAUCAUGCAGCUUCUAUUCAUGGAAGCAGAAGUCCUUGAAGUACUCCCUCCGUUCCCAAAUACUUGUCUUUCUAGGCAUUUCAAAUGGACUCAACAUACGAAUGUAUGUAGACAUAUUUUAAAGUGUAGAUUCACUCAUUUUGCGUCGUAUGUAGUCACUUGUUGAAAUCUCUAGAAAGACAAGUAUUUAGGAACGGAGGGAGUAGUAAAUUAUUUUUUUGCAGGGGAAAUGAAUGUUUAGUAAGUUUGGAAAAAAAGGCCACUGGAAGAUGUCCAUAGUCAUAUGCAUGCAUCCCAUCGACUUGAUGCUACUACAAUUUACUCUUUGAAGAACCUCCGUAAGUAUGUAUGUGAGAUAGCAAGCAAUGUUGGAUGCCCUCACUGUUUCCUUCUGAUUGGCAUAUAGGACUAUGUGCUUGUCCAGUAUACAUAUCUCCAGUUUUCUAUUAAUUCUUUGGUACAAACGGAAUACAUGUAGCACUUUGUAAAUGUUUCCAUGUGAAAAUAUCAUACUAUAACAUUAUGUUCUAUUUAAUUCCCAGAAGUAAUACUUGGUUUCAACUUUGAAAGACACAUGAAUUCUUCUAUGGGGCGUCCGAACAAAAGGAGCAUCCCGUCACUACGGUAGUGGAGCAAGAUUUCUUAUAUAUGGGUGAGGGCGUCAAUCAAUGUUGGUAGUUGGGACAAGGAAUCUCAUGACUGCAAUAUAUAGCUACCACGUUGGACCAGGCGCGAUUAUCUUGAGUAUAGCUAGACGGAAAAACAUCUUUCGAAGGAAGCAAACAAAAGGACUACACUCACACGGAACCAUGAAGCCAACGAUCCACGUCAACUAGAUGUUUUAGAUUUCAUUUUGUACAACUGAUGUAUCAUACUUGCAUCUUUUACAUGUCCUUUUGUGAACCUGUUGUAUGGUGUCUCCGUAGUUAUGUUUAGAACAGAUUGAAGGCAGACUGAAGUGUAUGUAUGUGACACCUAGUUAAUGGAAUAAAAAAAAUGUUUGGUGCA